GGGUAACCUAACCUAUGCAGGGGAAUAACCUCGGGAAACUGAGUAUAAUGCCCCAUAAUCCACUACGCCUGGAACGGUGAGUGGAUCAAAGCUCAGGCGGCAUAGGAUGGGCCUGCGGCGUAUCAGGUCGUAGGGGGUGUAAAGUACCCUCUAGCCAUCUACGCGUACGGGUGUUGGGGGACAUAGCCCGGAGAUGGAUCCUGAGACACGAAUCCAGACCCUACGGGGUGCAGCAGGCGCGAAAACUUGACAAUGCGAGCAAUCGUGAUCAGGGAACUCCAAGUGGCUGGGGUAAGACCCAGUCUUUUCAUAACUCUUCAAAGGUUGUAGAAUAAGGGGUGGGUAAGGACGGUGCCAGCCGCCGCGGUAAUACCGGCGCCUCAAGUGGUAGUCGCUUUUAUUGGGCCUAAAACGUCCGUAGCCGGUUUGGUACAUUCGUGGGUAAAUCAACUCGCUCAACGAGUUGAAUUCUGCGAGGACGGCCAGACUUGGGACCGGGAGAGGUGUGGGGUACUCUCAGGGUAGGGGUAAAAUCCUGUCAUCCUGAGAGGACCACCUGUUGCGAAGGCGCCACACUAGAACGGAUCCGACGGUCAGGGGCGAAGCCUAGGGGCACGAACCGGAUUAGAUACCCGGGUAGUCCUAGGUGUAAACGCUGUGGACUUGAUGUUAGAGAAGCUCCGAGCUUCUUCAGUGUCGAAGCGAAGGUGAUAAGUCCACUGCCUGGGAAGUACGGUCGCAAGGCUGAAACUU
rnacentral:rRNA from 1 species